GACGUAGGGGGCCAGCGUUGUUCGGAAUUACUGGGUGUAAAGGGUUCGUAGGCGGUGUGGCAAGUCGGGAGUGAAAUCUCUGGGCUCAACCCAGAGUCUGCUUCCGAAACUGCUGUGCUUGAGUGUGGGAGAGGCGCGUGGAAUUGCAGGUGUAGCGGUGAAAUGCGUAGAUAUCUGCAGGAACACCCGUGGCGAAAGCGGCGCGCUGGACCACUACUGACGCUGAGGAGCGAAAGCAUGGGGAGCGAACAGG
rnacentral:rRNA from 1 species